GACGAAUCUAAUUGGUAAUGAUGGGCAAAGACGGGUAGCCGCUAGUCCUUGUGAUGUUGCUCUCUUUGCCCCCUGUUUAACGCCCAAAACUGCGUACUGAAGCAACCAAAUCUUGUUCCUUUCUCAGAUACAGUGGUAUUUCUUUCGUUGGAUUCUUUAGCUUCCUUUCAUGGUGACAGGAGAGAUGGCCCGAAAUUCGCCGGAAGCCCGUGGUAGUGAGGAUUGCAUAGAACUUCUCAAGAAAAUGGAUCUUCAAGAGGUUCUGCAGGUUUUGUCUGGAGGAUUUUGCCACCAUUGCCAGGCUCUUUUAGAAAGUCGAAUUCACAAUCUCAUCAGUGGAAAAGUUAGUAAAAUGUCUUUGUCCAAUGAUAGCAUCAAAGUUUCAAAAGGAUUUCAGUCUGCAGAUGCAACAAACAUCAAUUCAUCUUAUAAUAAUUUGGAAUCUUUGUCUGCUGGGAAAUCAAGUCCAACCUUGAGCUCUAACCAAGAACCUAAAUCUGUUUGCUCAACGAGGCAAAAAGGGGUCACUGCUACUUCUUCACCUGCAUCAGUAAACAGCCAUCAGAAUUCAAUUGAUAGUUUGGGUUUUGAAAUACUGUUGAAUGAUGGACUUGCAGGAGCAUCUUCUAAGGUGGACAAUGGUUUAUCGGAGGAGCAAAAGGAGCAGAUUAGGUUUUCAAAAAUUGGCAGGAAAAAGGAUUUUGCGUGUACUGAGAGAAUCAAUGGGAAAUCAACCAAUAUUCUUAAAGGGCUAGAACUUCAUACUAAGGUUUUCAAUCCUGAAGAGCAGAAGAAAAUAGUUGAAUGUGUUUACAAUCUACAGCGCAUGGGCAGGAAGGGGCAACUUAGAGAACGCACAUAUUCAGAACCUAAGAAAUGGAUGCGUGGUAAAGGACGCAUCACAAUGCAAUUUGGAUGCUGUUACAAUUAUGCAGUGGACAAAAAUGGGAACCCCCCAGGUAUAGAUCGAGAUGAAGUUGUUGAUCCUCUGCCACCCACUUUCAAGCAAAUGAUCAAGAGAAUGGUCAGGUGGCAUGUUUUGCCUCCGACAUGCAUUCCUGACAGCUGCAUCGUGAAUAUAUAUGAUGAAGGGGAUUGCAUUCCGCCUCAUAUUGAUCAUCAUGACUUUCUUCGACCAUUUUGUACUGUGUCAUUCUUGACUGAAUGCAACAUAGUCUUUGGUUCAAAUUUGAAGAUUCUCAGUCCGGGAGAGUUCUCUGGGCCUGUCUCUAUGCCUUUGCCUGUUGGAUCGGUUCUUGUUCUAAAUGGUAAUGGAGCAGACAUUGCUAAGCACUGCAUUCCAGGAGUCCCAGCAAAACGGAUUUCCAUAACUUUCAGGAAAAUGGAUGAUAGCAAACUACCAUACCAGUUCUCACCAGACCCUGACCUGUUGGGAAUUAAGCCUCUUGCAUAUUCUCCCUUGACAAAGUCACCAUACCAACAAAGCCAGCCGCAGAAGCCUCUUGGUUAUCAUUCAAUUGCUAAGUCACCAUUUCAGCAAAGCAACCACCAGAAUGGCAAACUCACAGCAAAGGAAUGUGGAAGUGGCAACACGAAUAACACCUCAUUUUUCAUGGACGAAGAUCAUUUUCCUCCGCUUGGCAGCUCAAAUUCUUCUAGUCGAUCCAGGGCUAGUAGAGCUGGAUCAAAACAAUACUUCGGCUAAAUCACUGAUUCAUUAACCUCAUGUACUUGUUUAUGUUAUGCAGCUGUUAGUGAAGUAACAAAUUUUGAUGCAUAUGACGAUAGUUUCAUUUACACAUGCAUGCUUACAGUUACUUUCUACUGUUUUAAAUCUGAAGUAGCUGACAUUAGAUGGAAAAUGACAUAAGAUGGAAAAUUGUUAUGAUUUUUGUCAAGAAGCAUGCGUCUUCCUUAUCUUGUGUGUGCGCG
rnacentral:misc_RNA from 1 species